rnacentral:ncRNA from 2 species
GACCGUCGUGAGACAGGUU